CCUACGGGAGGCAGCAGUGAGGAAUAUUGGGCAAUGGACGAGAGUCUGAACCAGCCAAGUAGCGUGAAGGAUGACUGCCCUAGGGGUUGUAAACUUCUUUUAUAUGGGAAUAAAAUGUUCCACGUGUGGGAUUUUGUAUGUACCAUAUGAAUAAGGAUCGGCUAACUCCGUGCCAGCAGCCGCGGUAAUCCGGAGGAUCCGAGCGUUAUCCGGAUUUAUUGGGUUUAAAGGGAGCGUAGGUGGAUUGUUAAGUGAGUUGUGAAAGGUUGCGGCUCAACCGUGAAAUUGCAGUUGAAACUGGCAGUCUUGAGUACAGUAGAGGUAGGCGGAAUUCGUGGUGUAGCGGUGAAAUGCUUAGAUAUCACGAAGAACUCCGAUUGCGAAGGCAGCUCACUGGACUGCAACUGACACUGAGGCUCGAAAGUGUGGGUAUCAAACAGGAUUAGAUACCCGAGUAGUC
rnacentral:rRNA from 1 species